rnacentral:lncRNA from 1 species
UUAGAUGUAUAUUGGAAAUUGUACUCCUUGUCAUUGAACCAUGAAUUCAGUCUUGUGAGGUAUAGAAAUUAAAUAUAGUCAUCUCUGUAUGUGGAUAAAAAUGCUUAUUUUAAAUGAGAAUUGCAUAUGAUAUGGUCAUAGGUUGAUUGUAUUUGUGAAAGAGAGUGACUAUUGAACCAGAAUAUUGUCUUCCAUAAAUUUAUGAAACUUGGUUGUACAUGUGCCUAGAUUAUGCUCGGUUGUGGUUCUAGAUAUGGUUGUAAUUAUGUGAAUGGAUUGAAAUCAAGAAUAGGACUGACCAUGUUUUAUUGAUACCCAAUCACAGGGCAUGAGCAUGACACUACUGAUACCCAGUCAUGGGGCAUAAGCAUGACAUCUCAUGGAGCGUAACUGUGACACAUUUGAUACCCAGUCAUGGGGCUUAAGCAUGACACUAUUGAUACCCCGUCACAGGGCUCAAGUAUGACACUAUGGAUACCCCAUCAUCAAAGAGUGUAAGGAUGAUACUUUUGAUACCCAGUCACGGGGUGUAAGUGUGACCAUGGAUUAGUCCAAACCUAGAAAUUUAUUUAUUCUCCUAUUGUAAAAUUUGAUAUUUUUGUUGCUUUGGAUCCAUGUCUCAAAUUGUGAGUUUUGUAUAGUUUACAACUGGAUGAAUUCACAUUGUGUUCAUUUAUUAUGAAUAAUAUAUACAACCAACUUUACGGCCAAUGAAUUUUCUAUGCCUCUUUAUGUGUAUAGUAGCUAUAUUUGUAUUUAUUAUUUCAUUCUGGAUAUCUGGUGCGUAUGUGUAGUGGGAUACUUGCUGAGAUAUUGAGCUCACAUCAUUUCCUUUAAUGUAUUUUAGAGGAGCAGGACAAUUAGAGGAACGCAGGUUGCCUGCAUGAUGGAUUAGUAAAGUUUUUAGAUUUCAUUAGUUGUCUUGAAAUGUGAAACCUUAGUGAUUCAACUAAAAUUUUGUUUCAUGGUUAGAUGUGGAUUUGAUAUUGGACAUUGUACAUUUUGACUUUAUGGCUAAUAUGUUUAAUUUAUAUUAGAGGACCAAAUUGUUUUUAUAUUAGAGCCACAAUAAAUUUUACUUUUUUAAAAUAG